rnacentral:rRNA from 1 species
AUUGAACGCUGGCGGCAGGCCUAACACAUGCAAGUCGAGCGGAUGAAGGGAGCUUGCUCCUGGAUUCAGCGGCGGACGGGUGAGUAAUGCCUAGGAAUCUGCCUGGUAGUGGGGGAUAACGACCGGAAACGGGCGCUAAUACCGCAUACGUCCUGAGGGAGAAAGUGGGGGAUCUUCGGACCUCACGCUAUCAGAUGAGCCUAGGUCGGAUUAGCUAGUUGGUGGGGUAAAGGCCUACCAAGGCGACGAUCCGUAACUGGUCUGAGAGGAUGAUCAGUCACACUGGAACUGAGACACGGUCCAGACUCCUACGGGAGGCAGCAGUGGGGAAUAUUGGACAAUGGGCGAAAGCCUGAUCCAGCCAUGCCGCGUGUGUGAAGAAGGUCUUCGGAUUGUAAAGCACUUUUAGUUGGGAGGAAGAGCAGUAAGUUAAUACCUUGCUGUUUUGACGUUACCAACAGAAUAAGCACCGGCUAACUACGUG